GCUCACCCUCUAUCGGUAAGAUCUCCUCUCCCUCAAAUUCUCUACAAUGGAUGCAUGCGAAUUAACUAGCUCGUAUACUCGAAACAAUUAGCUUAAUAUUUCUCACUUUUUCCUCUAAUAUCUGCUAGUUUAGGAUUAAUCUGUCAAGAUCCAUAGCAAAACCGUAUCUUUGAUUCAGCAGAUCAAGCAAGCCAAUUAUUUGAUUCACCACUCCAAUCGGUCUUUAAUUUAUUUACUUACUUAAAUUUCUGGUGAGUGAGGGUAUUUUUAUUCAAUUGUACAUAAUUAAAAGAAAAUCAGAAUCAAAUGAUCCAAUCAUUCAUGCAGGGACAUGCUUGAUUUGAAUAUAGUUUACUUAGCCUUGGGGGGUUUUGAUUGCAUUUCUAUCUGUUUAGUAGGAUAAUGAAUCCAUAUAUAGCAUUGCAAUGAGUUUGGAAUUGAAUAUCCUUUAUGUAUGAUUGAUGCUUGAAGGAGUUGUUUUGCAUGCUGGAUUCCGAUAUAUCCACAACCAAUGGCAUCAACUGUUUUGCAUAUUGUGAAUAGUACUUUGGAGUGGGUUACACUGGCUUUGGAUACUCCAUCUGCUCGAGCUGUUGUUUUUGGAGUUCAUAUUGGAGGUAGCUAGUUUUUUUCAAGUCUUUUCAACUCUUGAUACUAUCAUAUUCAUCCAGCUGCUAAUCUGUAAUUUCGAUAACCCAUAUUUUUUGUGGUUUUAUUGAAGGACAUCUUUUUGUGGAGGGUCUUCUUCUGGUUGUCAUUCUUUUCCUACUAUCACAAAAAAGUUACAAGCCCCCUAAACGGCCAUUAACAAAGAAGGUCCUUGUAGCAAAUAGCUACUUUCCUAAUUUGAUUACAUUAUUUAUUUAUUUGUGUGUUGAUUGGAAUUGCAUUUUGUUUCAUGUAUAUUUUAUCAUUCACCAAGUGGUCAUUCUCUUAAUAUAUCUAUCACUUCCACGCUUGUAAAGUUUUAGCCUAAGGCCAUGUGGUUCUCUUUUUUUCUGCCCUUGUUAAUUGCCAUUUGUUUGUACACUAAUGCUGGUAUACUAUCCUUAAGAGUGAUUAUAAGACAUUCAUGUGGUUGCAUUUGUUGUUUGUUGAAUGCUAAUCAUGUUAUAUUCUCCUUAAGAGUAACUAUAAGAUGUAUUGGUGCAUGAUACUCUGAUUAGCUGAUUCAAUCUCAUGUUGUUACUGUUACCUAUCGUAGUCUAGUAGUUGUUGCAUCAUACAUUCUAAUGGUGCUCUAUCUACACCAAAAUAGAAUUGCUCAAAUUGCAUAGUGUCUGUAGGAAAUAGAUGAGCUAUGUGAAGAAUGGGUUCCAGAACCCCUUAUUCCUCCCAUUACAGAAGAGAUGCAAUACGAGCCACCUGUAUUGGAAAGUGCUGCUGGGCCACAUACAAUAAUCAAUGGCAAAGAAGUUGUGAACUUUUCUUCAGCUAAUUAUCUUGGAUUAAUAGGGCAUGAGAAAUUACUUGAGUCUUGCACCUCUGCAUUGGAAAAAUAUGGUGUUGGUUCAUGUGGUCCUCGUCAGUUCUAUGGAACUAUUGAUGUCCACCUUGAUUGUGAGGCUAGAAUAGCGAAGUUUUUGGGAACUCCUGAUUCAAUUCUCUAUUCGUAUGGACUUUCCACCAUAUUCAGCGCAAUUCCAUGUUUCUGCAAAAAAGGAGACAUAAUAGUUGUUGAUGAAGGAGUCCACUGGGGAAUACAAAAUGGCCUUUACCUUUCUAGAAGCACCAUUGUGUAUUUUAAACAUAAUGACAUGGAAUCACUACAAAACACGUUGGAGAAAAUAACUGCUGAGAAUAAGCGUGCUAAACAAUUGCGUCGCUACAUCAUUGUUGAAGCAAUAUACCAGAAUUCUGGCCAAAUAGCACCAUUAAAUGAGAUUAUCAGAUUGAAGGAGAAAUAUCGCUUUCGUGUUUUGUUGGAUGAGAGCAACUCAUUUGGAGUCCUCGGCAGAUCCGGAAAAGGUCUAACUGAAUACUAUGGUGUUCCAGUACGUUUUAAAAACACGAUGCUUUCUUUUUAUUAGUAUAAACUCUGUAAUUUAAAAUUUAUGAGGUUGAGGGCUUGCAGGUUGACAAGAUAGAUAUUAUAACUGCAGCAAUGGGGCAUGCUUUAGCCACUGAAGGAGGAUUCUGCACUGGAAGUGCAAGAGUCAUUGAUCACCAAGUAGGAAAACAUAGAUGCCUAAAAAUGGAACCAUUUUAUUGAAAGUUGGAUAAUCUGACUUGUUAGAUUUAAUGACUUUUUUUUUUAUCCUAUUCUUAAAUGCUUAUGCAUUGUGUUUGCUAAUCUUUUGCAGCGACUGAGCAGCUCUGGAUAUGUCUUUUCAGCUUCUUUGCCUCCAUAUCUUGCAAGUGCUGCAAUUACUGCUAUUGAUGUCCUGGAGGGUAAUCCUGCUCUAGUAGCCAAGCUGAAAGAAAACAUUGCUAUAUUGUGGAAAGGUUGGUGCUGAUUUCAUUACCAUCUGUAAUCACUUUUUCAUUUUCAUUUUUCCCCUCGUCUAUAGACUGGGACUGUGUUUUUGCAAAAACUGAUGUGGCACUAUUUCUAUAUUUCACUGUGGAAAGAAGUUGCUGUCAGUAUCUCUUAUUAAACUGACAAUUCUCCUUAUAGACUUUCCAGUGGAAGUAUGUGCUUGGAAACAUAUUCCUUAAUAAAAUUUGAGCUGUAUGAGUUAAUGUAAUGUGUCAAUUAUUGACAUUUGAACAAGAGUGUCAUAGCAUUUAAUCUCACAAUCAAUAGAAUUUAAUGUUGUGAACCAUUUAGCUGUGGAUCAAGCUUGUUUUGAGUCAAGUUGAGAUACAGAAAUCUAGAUCACAGUAUUGGAACUAAUGCAUGCGUGCACACGCAUAUGCUUGUGCUUAGAAAUGCUUAUUGCCCUCAUAUAGAGAGGAAAGAACAAUUACGCAAUUUAUGCUGGACAGGUAUGACAAUUUUGCAAUUAAGGGUUCAAAAAGAAUGGCUGAUGAAUCUAUAAGUCUUCAUGAGUUGAACAUGGUUGCUUUUAAAGAAAUUAAAAAGAGGAAUUUUUUGAAUUCUCAAAAUAUGCAUUUAAAGUGGCUGAGCAUUCAACAUAGUGAAAAUUCAGUAAAACCAAAAAGACAAAGGAUUUGGAAAUUGGAACAGUUUCCAUCUGUAUCUUUUGAAGAUAUCUUGUACACUGUACAUUGAUUUAGGAGAUAGCUGUGUGAAAGGCAUUGCUCUGUACUUAUCUCAUUGAAAUAAGAUAUCUGCCCCCAAAAAUAAUAAAGUAAAAUAAAAUAAAACAUGAUAUUGGUUCUUUCAUAGUUAUUAAAGGUGGCUGAGGUGCAGCCCUUAACAUCUCAAUCAUUGAAAGGCAGGCGACCUUAAUGAGGUGUGCACCUAUUGUCAAGGCUUGUGCCUUGGCAUGAGUAUUUGUUCUGCAUUUUUUUUUUCCACUAAUGCCAUACCAUCUACAAAUCUCCACUUCUGAUUCAGCCAUGCAAGUGACCUUACCAUGAUCUCAUGUACACUGGGCCAAAUUAAAGCAAUUUAAAGAUAAAAGGAGAAAGAAGGAAACUGAUGUUGAUCUAGAUCAGACAUAGACAGCCUAUAUAAAAAGGGGAAGAACUGCUUUAGGGUUUUCCGGCAGCUACAGCCAGGUUCAACCCC
rnacentral:misc_RNA from 1 species